rnacentral:rRNA from 1 species
UACGGAGGGGACUAGCGUUGUUCGGAAUUACUGGGCGUAAAGCGCACGUAGGCGGAUUUGUAAGUCAGGGGUGAAAUCCCGGGGCUCAACCUCGGAACUGCCUUUGAUACUGUUCGGCUCGAGACCGGAAGAGGUAAGUGGAACUGCGAGUGUAGAGGUGAAAUUCGUAGAUAUUCGCAAGAACACCAGUGGCGAAGGCGGCUUACUGGUCCGGUUCUGACGCUGAGGCGCGAAAGCGUGGGGAGCAAACAGG